rfam:Lupinus angustifolius cultivar Tanjil chromosome LG01, whole genome shotgun sequence.
UGCAAUCUAUGAUGCAACUUUAUGUCAUAUUGUCUGAUUAUACUGUGAUUAUCUUAAAAAUCACCAUCUUUCGGCUGAGAUUGUU